CGCUCAGCCUUUUAGGGGGAGACCUUUGCUCGGCGUUCGCGGUGUUUGGUAAGUGUGUGUAUCCCCCUGGUUUGUCAGCUUCAGCCCUAGUGCUCGAUCCCGCCAGCCGGCCUUUCCGGUGGAAAUGGUGCUACUUAGAAGGGCUGGUUUCGACGGCGUCCGUGCCAACUACCCUUAUUCCGUGCGGAAGGGCUGGGCGGCUGGGGCUGGGGCGCUAGCGCCCCGCGGGUGACGGCGUAACCGGGGCGCGCGCGCGCCGACCUGCACCCUGCGCGCCGGGACGCCGGGAACGCAGCCACCCCGCCCAGUCGUUGCCCUUCCUCCCGGGAGCCGCGUUGCCCUGGGGGAGUUGCACGCAGGACAUUUUAUUCCUGGCCCCUCCCGCGUGUGAGUCCUGAUUUCGAAACCGAUGGCUCUUAGUGCUGCCAGUGUAACAUUUGGGGUAAUUUCACGGCUGGAGACCGGUUUAAAGAUGGAAAGGUUAACUGCUGCCUGAAAGGCUCUGCAGUUGCCGUUUCUCUGGGAGCGCGCUGAUGGCUGUUGUUUCUAGAUGCGUGUUUGCGGCGCCCGGCUGAAAGUGAAUUUAGGUUCCUGACAGGACUUCUGGCCAGUCUUGAACUCGAGUUUUGACGACUUUGGGGGGAUUUCGGUAUCGCUGUCACUGAGGGGGAUUUCUGGCACCGUAGUCUGAAUCUAAGUCUAGUGACCAACGUGGACACCCCGGGAGGUCACUCUCCCCGGGCUCUGUCCAGGUGGCGCAAGGGAGCGGAGGGCUCUGCCCCGUGAUGUACAGUCCCUUUCCACAACGUUGGAGAGAAAGCCGGGCCUAGAGUCUGCGCCUGCAUAUUCCUACAGCUUCUCAGAGUCCUGUGGACGAUGACUGAGGAGACAAACCAUGCAGGAAACAUCUCUCUAGAACAGCGAUUUUCAACCGGUGUGCUGCACGAAAUUGAAAACCUGCCGAUGUAGUCAGGGACAUUGACCUCUUUUCCCUUGGAUUGUCAAAUUUAAAAUCAACAUCCAACACAGAAAUUGGUGUAAAUCAAUUAAAAUUCUAUCUUUGGCCUGGCCUGGCUCAGGGUUGAGCAUUGACCCAUGAACCAGGGGGUCAGGGCACAUGGCCAAUUGGGAGGGUGGGCGCGUGCAGGAGACAGCCUAUCCAUGAUUCUAUCAUUGAUAUGUCUAUCUUCCUAAAAUGGGUAAAAACCUAUAUUUAAAAAUGCUACCUGUUUUGGCAGAUCGGUAAAAUACAUAUUUUUUUGUGUGCUGCAGUUUUAGUAAUUUGUGCUGCAUGAGGUGAAAAAGGUUGACAAUUGCUGCUCUGGAGCUUCCUAUCUGGAUAUAGGUUGAUCAGAAGUGAAUUUUUUGCUUUAACCAGCUUUACUGUACUGCUGAAUUAAGCUCUUUACCUUGUUUUGCAGCCUUCGGUCAAGAUUCUAAAUAACUUGAUUUGGGAAAGAAGAGGAGCCACCUCACCAUUUUGGCAGUUAAUGCUUUUUGGAUUCCUCUGAAGUGAUGGCUGCUUUUGGAGGAUAAGUAGCUGCCCUUUGGAGUAAAAGGAAAAUUAAAUGGAAAUUCUGUCAUUCCCAGAUCU